GAUGAACGCUGUCGGCGUGCCUAAUACAUGCCAGUCGAGCGAACAGACGAGGAGCUUGCUCCUCUGACGUUAGCGGCGGACGGGUGAGUAACACGUGGAUAACCUACCUAUAAGACUGGGAUAACUUCGGGAAACCGGAGCUAAUACCGGAUAAUAUAUUGAACCGCAUGGUUCAAUAGUGAAAGACGGUUUUGCUGUCACUUAUAGAUGGAUCCGCGCCGCAUUAGCUAGUUGGUAAGGUAACGGCUUACCAAGGCAACGAUGCGUAGCCGACCUGAGAGGGUGAUCGGCCACACUGGAACUGAGACACGGUCCAGACUCCUACGGGAGGCAGCAGUAGGGAAUCUUCCGCAAUGGGCGAAAGCCUGACGGAGCAACGCCGCGUGAGUGAUGAAGGUCUUCGGAUCGUAAAACUCUGUUAUUAGGGAAGAACAAAUGUGUAAGUAACUAUGCACGUCUUGACGGUACCUAAUCAGAAAGCCACGGCUAACUACGU
rnacentral:rRNA from 1 species